UUUGAACGACAGGUUGAGUCCCGUACAGCGCGAGUUUCCCUCAGAGUCCGAGAAUUGGCUUAGCUGCACAGUUAUCGAGUUAUAUUCCGGUACAAAAUUUCAAACUGUUCUCACACCCACGCGUCGAUGUCAAGUUGUAACAAAUUCAGAAGAAAGAAACGGAGGAACGAAAAAGAAAAACAUGACAUAGCUGUAGGAAGGCCAGCUAUAAAAAUUUCAUGCAAAACACACAACCGCGUUCGACGAACUACUGAAUACGGAGUGCGUUAUUGUCCCCCAGCAAGGUGAAAAAUCUCAGGGGAAGAAGAAGGGUAAAUAAUAAAGUGGACGGCAUUAAACAGCUGUUUUACUGCAAAUUAAGGGAAAAAAUAACUCUCGAAUAUCGGGCAUUAUGCUGUACGAUGACGGAGACGUGGUUUAUUGUUAAAAUACCGGUUUACACCUGCAUAGAAGAGAUAUUUUUCUAGCGACGGCGGCAUGAUCGAUUAAAUUUAUCUCUGUACAGACCUUGUUUACGAUCUUGGCAUGUGGAAUUUACAGUGAACGAGAAACGUCUGACAUCGCCUUGAAGUAUUCCCAGCAUGGAAAAACAACAAGGCGACAAAGUUAAUCGUCGAACAAGUUUGUUUUUUUCUGAUUCAAUAUAAGUAUUACGUCUGAGAACAAAACUUAGUAUUUGGGAGUUUCCAAAUUUUUAUGUACAAACGAAUAAACCAUCCCCAAUAUUAAAA
rnacentral:lncRNA from 1 species